GAUCAGUUGUAGCAAUACGACUGUGAGAGUGGCGCACGGGUGCGUAACACGUAUGCAACCUACCUUAAACUGGGGAAUAGCCCCUCGAAAGAGGGAUUAAUACCGCAUAACGAGGCGUGUAGGCAUCUACACUCCUCUAAAACUCCGGUGGUUUAAGAUGGGCAUGCGGCUGAUUAGCUAGUUGGUGAGGUAAUGGCUCACCAAGGCUACGAUCAGUAGGGGGUCUGAGAGGAUGUCCCCCCACACUGGUACUGAGACACGGACCAGACUCCUACGGGAGGCAGCAGUAGGGAAUAUUGGACAAUGGGGGAAACCCUGAUCCAGCCAUGCCGCGUGCAGGAUGACUGCCCUAUGGGUUGUAAACUGCUUUUGUACGGGAAGAAACCACAUUACGUGUAAUGUGUUGACGGUACCGUGAGAAUAAGGAUCGGCUAACUUCGUGCCAGCAGCCGCGGUAAUACGAAGGAUCCUAGCGUUGUCCGGAUUUACUGGGUUUAAAGGGUGCGUAGGCGGACUUUUAAGUCAGUGGUGAAAGCCUGCAGCUUAACUGUAGAAUUGCCAUUGAAACUGAAAGUCUCGAGUGUGGUUGAGGUAGCUGGAAUGUAUCAUGUAGCGGUGAAAUGCUUAGAUAUGAUACAGAACUCCAAUUGCGAAGGCAGGCUACUAAACCAUAACUGACGCUGAGGCACGAAAGCGUGGGGAUCAAACAGGAUUAGAUACCCUGGUAGUCCACGCCCUAAACGUUGCAUACUCGGUUUUGGCGAUAUACAGUCAGGACCCAAGCGAAAGCGUUAAGUAUGCCACCUGGGAAGUACGAUCGCAAGANUGAAACUCAAAGGAAUUGACGGGGGCCCGCACAAGCGGAGGANCAUGUGGUUUAAUUCGAUGAUACGCGAGGAACCUUACCUGGGCUUGAAUGUGAGUGACCGCUGCCGAANNNGNUUCCCCGCAAGGGCACAAA
rnacentral:rRNA from 1 species